rnacentral:tRNA from 1 species
GCCCGCGUGGUGGAAUAGGUAGACACCGGAGACUUAAAAUCUCCUGGCCACAUGGCCGUGCCGGUUCGAGUCCGGCCGCGGGCACCA